rnacentral:rRNA from 1 species
CAGGACGAACGCUGGCGGCGUGCUUAAUACAUGCAAGUCGAAUGAAGCCUAGUCUUAGUUACUAUAGACGAAAGCUUAGUGGCGGACGGGUGAGUAACGCGUGGAGAAUCUGCCCUCAAGACCGGGAUAACAGAGCGAAAGUUCUGCUAAAACCGGAUAUGCUCUGAGAGCCGCAUGGUUUAAAGAGGAAAACGUUAGUGCUUGAGGAUGGCUCCGCGUCCCAUUAGCUAGUUGGUAAGGUAACGGCUUACCAAGGCGACGAUGGGUAGCCGGCCUGAGAGGGUGACCGGCCACACUGGGACUGAGACACGGCCCAGACUCCUACGGGAGGCAGCAGUAGGGAAUUUUCCGCCAAUGGGCGAAAGCCUGACGGAGCAACGCCGCGUGAAGGAUGAAGGCCUUCGGGUCGUAAACUUUUGUCUUUGGGGACGAUAAUGACGGUACCCAAGGAGGAAGCCCCGGCUAACUACGUGCCAGCCGCCGC